rnacentral:snRNA from 1 species
GUGCUCCCUUCGGCUGCACAUAUACUAAAAUUCGAGCAAUACAGAGAAGGUUAGCAUGGCUCCUGUGCAAGGAUGGCAUGCAAAUUCGUGAAGAGGUACAUUUAAAA